GGCCGUUGGGGAAAGUCAUGUACACAACUAAUUCAAUAUACCCCUGUAUAGUUUUUCCAUAUUACUUAUCACGCACAAAAUCCGCUCCCAGCUCUUAGACUAAAUAUAAGGGACUGAAAAUUCGUAUACAGGUAAAACAUUGUUGUAUAUGUAAAAUACAAGAACCUACAAAAA
rnacentral:lncRNA from 1 species